rnacentral:rRNA from 1 species
ACGAACGUUGGCGGCGUGGAUUAGGCAUGCAAGUCGAACGAAUCCCUAGGGGCUUGCUCUUAGGGGGAAGUGGCGAAAGGGGCAGUAAUGCGUGGGUAACCUACCCCGGGGACGGGGAUAGCCAUUCUAACGAGUGGGUAAUACCUGGCGAUGUAGCGAGGUCGCCUGAUUUUGCUACGAAAUGAAUUUCGCCUCGGGAGGGGCUCACGUGAUAUUAGCUAGUUGGUGGGGUAACGGCCUACCAAGGCAAAGAUGUCUAGCGGGUGUGAGAGCACGACCCGCGCCACUGGCACUGAGACACUGGCCAGACUCCUACGGGAGGCUGCAGUCGAGGAUCUUCGGCAAUGGGCGCAAGCCUGACCGAGCGACGCCGCGUGUGCGAUGAAGGCCUUCGGGUUGUAAAGCACUGUCGAGGGGGAGGAAGCCGCAAGGUUGACCUAUCCCUGGAGGAAGCACGGGCUAAGUUCGUGCCAGCAGCCGCGGUAAGACGAACCGUGCGAACGUUGUUCGGAAUCACUGGGCUUAAAGGGCGCGUAGGCGGGCGAUCAAGUCCGGGGUGAAAUCUUUCGGCUUAACCGGAAAAGUGCCUUGGAUACUGAUUGUCUUGAGGGAGGUAGGGGCAGGUGGAACUUCCGGUGGAGCGAUGAAAUGCGUUGAUAUCGGAAGGAACGCCGGUGGCGAAAGCGACCUGCUGGAUCUCUACUGACGCUGAGGCGCGAAAGCUAGGGGAGCGAACGGGAUUAGAUACCCCGGUAGUCCUAGCCCUAAACGAUGGGUACUAGGUUGUAGACUUAACAUGGGUUUACAGCCGAAGCAAAGUGUUAAGUAUCCCGCCUGGGGAGUAUGGUCGCAAGGCUGAAACUCAAAGGAAUUGACGGGGGCUCACACAAGCAGUGGAGCAUGUGGCUUAAUUCGAGGCUACGCGAAGAACCUUAUCCUGGGCUUGACAUAUGCGAAAGCGUUAGGUAGUAGGACCCGGAAACGGGAACGAACGCCCGCAAGGGUGGAGCCUAACACAGGUGCUGCAUGGCUGUCGUCAGCUCGUGUCGUGAGAUGUCGGGUUAAGUCCCAUAACGAGCGAAACCCUUACCAUCAGUUGCUACUUAUAGGACUCUGGUGGGACUGCCGGUGUUAAACCGGAGGAAGGUGGGGAUGACGUCAAGUCCUCAUGGCCUUUAUGCCCAGGGCUGCACACGUGCUACAAUGGCGUGAACAAAGGGACGCAACAGCGCGAGCUCAAGCAAAUCCCAAAAAACACGCCCCAGUUCAGAUCAAAGGCUGCAACUCGCCUUCGUGAAGUUGGAAUUGCUAGUAAUCGCGGGUCAGCAACACCGCGGUGAAUGUGUUCCUGAGCCUUGUACACACCGCCCGUCAAGCCACGAAAAAGAGGGGCGCCCGAAGUCACCUUCACUGGUGCCGAAGGCGAAACUCUUGAUUGGGACU